GGCGGAUGUAGCCAAGUGGUUUAAGGCAGU
rnacentral:tRNA from 1 species